GAGAGGCAAGGGUGGGUAGGUAUGGAGGGAGACUCGUGUAUACCCGGAGAGUGUUGGUUUAGGUGGUAAACAUAGCGGAAUAGGGCUGCACUCGUGUCCUGUUCUCAUUCAACUUUACUCUCGGAGCGCUGUUGUCUGUAUAUAGGGAAGGAGUGGGUAGGGGAGACUUUCGUAUAGCUAGGGAGUGCUGGUGAAGGUGUAAACAAAGCGGAAUAGGGCUGCACUCGUGUCCUGUUCUCAUUCAACUUACACUCAUAGCGUUGUUGUGUGUAUAUGGGGAAGGAGUGCAGUACGAGGCAAGGGUGAGUGGGGGGGACUUUCGUAUAGCUAGAGGGUGUUGGUGGAGGUGUAAACAUUGCGGAAUAGGGCUGUACUUGUGUCCUGUUCGCAUUCAACUUUACACUCAUAGCUCUGUAGUGUGUAUAUAGAGAGUGCGUUACGAGGAGAGCAAGGGAUAGGGGAGACUUGUAUAGCCAGAGUGUUUGAGCGGGACUGAGCUGAACUCGUGUCGCGGUUUCAAUCAACUUAUAUAUUAACAAACUGCGCAGUGAGUGUGUAUAGCGGCGGAGUGCGUGUCAGUUGGUGAAGUGCUGGUAGAGGUGCCAACAUAGAAAAAUUUAGCUACACCGUGUCUUCUUUUCGUUCAACUUAAAUUUAUCGCGCUGUGUUUGUAUAUACGUUGCAAUGGCGUGCGUGUGCCUAGUUGGUGCGGGUACAAAGGGAGCUACUCUUGUUUUCGUGAAGGUCUGUUUUUCCUCUAAUUAAUACACAGAGAAUGGCUAGAUUUCUGUCCUUUUCUUUCUUGUUUCCGUGUAUAUAGGUCUGCUUUCGUCCAAUUAAGACAGACGCAAAGGUUAGAUGUUCCUGUUUUCAUCCAAUUAGCGCAUAGAGAAAGGCUUCAUUUUUUGUCCCUUCGUUCUUGUUUUCGUGUAUAUAGGUCUGUUUUCGUCCAAUUAGCGCAUAGAGAAAGGCUUCAUUUUUUGUCCCUUCGUUCUUGUUUUCGUGUAUAUAGGUCUGUUUUCGUCCAAUUAGCGCAUAGAGAAAGGCUUCAUUUUUUGUCCCUUCGCUCUUGUUUUCGUGUAUAUAGGUCUGUUUUCAUCCAAUUAGCGCAUACAGAAAGGCUUCAUUUUUUGUCCCUUCGUUCUUGUUUCCGUGUAAAUAGGUCUGUUUUCGUCCAAUUAAGACAGACACAAAGACUGGAUUUCUGUUCUUUUUCUUUAUAUCGAGCAAAAUGAACUCCUCGACGUAAACAGACUGCAGUGAAAAACAAAUUAGGGCUAAAUUAUCUAGUUAUUUGUAUAUAUAAAUGAAAUCAGCUUGUUCUCGUGUAUGAUAAAGGUCUGGGUGAUAACAACGCUUCCUAUAUUUUCCUUUGCCCCUUUACCAUCACCUAAAACACCUGCAGUAUCUGUUUUAUCAUCAGCUUGGUUUUUAGUAAUUAGAAAACAGGGAAUUGACUUGUUGCGUGGUCUUUCAAACGCAGGAUUACUGUAGUCGUUCCCAUUCAUUUAAUACAUGUAGGGAGGGAAGAUUUAUGUGUCCUGUCAUUCUUGGUAUAAUCACACACACACACACAUUCUCAAGAGCAAUAUGUCCUUCUGUUAUAGUUCUUUCCAUCCACUUAAUAAACGUAGGGAGGCAAGAUUUCUGUGCCCUCUCAUUCUUGCUAUAAUCACACACACACA